ACAAGACGCCUACGCACACUCAUCAGUAACUACAGUGUACAGAGCAAAAGACUCAUUCUAUUCCACAAUUACGCAGCUAAAAGUAAUGUAGCAUCAAUUUAAGAAUGCAUCUGAAUUGCUCUGGUUAAUGAGCCGUCCGUUCCAAAUAUUUAAGGAAAGGUCACGUACUGUACUUUAGUGUAUCAUUAUAUGAAGAAGUGACCAAAAGUUUUCAGUAUUUUCCUUAUAAAAGUCCUCCAAGGUGUACAAGCGUAAGGCCCCACAGAACAUGGGUCUGCUGCCACCAGAGGAGCCGCACUGACUCACACCCCAGAAACCACACCAGAGCUCCUGUCCCUCCUGCCCUCUCCCACCCCCCUCGGUCCCAUCAGCACGCGCUGGAGUUGUCCGGGCUCUCGAGCUGGCA